rnacentral:rRNA from 1 species
AGAGUUUGAUCAUGGCUCAGGAUGAACGCUGGCGGCGUGCUUAACACAUGCAAGUCGAACGCUGAAGCUCCCAGCUUGCUGGGGGUGGAUGAGUGGCGAACGGGUGAGUAUCACGUGAGUAACCUGCCCUUGACUCUGGGAUAAGCCCGGGAAACUGGGUCUAAUACUGGAUAGGACUGGCCAUCGCAUGGUGGUUGGUUGAAAGCUUUUGCGGUUUUGGAUGGACUCGCGGCCUAUCAGCUUGUUGGUGGGGUAAUGGCCUACCAAGGCUUUGACGGGUAGCCGGCCUGAGAGGGUGACCGGCCACACUGGGACUGAGACACGGCCCAGACUCCUACGGGAGGCAGCAGUGGGGGAUAUUGCACAAUGGGCGCAAGCCUGAUGCAGCGACGCCGCGUGAGGGAUGACGGCCUUCGGGUUGUAAACCUCUUUCAGUUGGGAAGAAGCCUUUCGGGGUGACGGUACCUUCAGAAGAAGCACCGGCUAACUACGUGCCAGCAGCCGCGGUAAUACGUAGGGUGCGAGCGUUAUCCGGAAUUAUUGGGCGUAAAGAGCUCGUAGGCGGUUUGUCACGUCUGCUGUGAAAGCUCGGGGCUUAACUCCGAGUGUGCAGUGGGUACGGGCAGGCUGGAGUGCAGUAGGGGAGACUGGAAUUCCUGGUGUAGCGGUGAAAUGCGCAGAUAUCAGGAGGAACACCGAUGGCGAAGGCAGGUCUCU